rnacentral:rRNA from 1 species
GACGUAGGGCGCGAGCGUUGUCCGGAUUUAUUGGGCGUAAAGAGCUUGUAGGCGGUUUGUCGCGUCUGCCGUGAAAAUUCGAGGCUCAACCUCGAACUUGCGGUGGGUACGGGCAGACUAGAGUGUGGUAGGGGAGACUGGAAUUCCUGGUGUAGCGGUGAAAUGCGCAGAUAUCAGGAGGAACACCGGUGGCGAAGGCGGGUCUCUGGGCAGUAACUGACGCUGGAGGAGCGAAAGCGUGGGGAGCGAACAGG